rnacentral:rRNA from 1 species
AACGAACGCUGGCGGCGCGCCUAAUACAUGCAAGUCGAACGAGAAGGUGUAGCAAUACACUUGUACAGUGGCGAACGGGUGAGGAAUGCAUGGGUAACCUACCCUCGAGUGGGGAAUAACCAGCCGAAAGGUUGGCUAAUACCGCGUACGCUUCCGGGUCUCCGGAUCCGGAAGGAAAGUCACACCGUGGGUGUGACGCUCAAGGAUGGGCUCAUGUCCUAUCAGCUUGUUGGGAGGUAACGGCUCACCCAGGCAACGACGGGUAGCUGGUCUGAGAGGACGAUCAGCCACACUGGCACUGCGACACGGGCCAGACUCCUACGGGAGGCAGCAGUAAGGAAUAUUGCGCAAUGGGCGAAAGCCUGACGCAGCGACGCCGCGUGGGGGAUGAAGGUCUUCGGAUUGUAAACCCCUUUCGGGAGGGAAGAUGGAACGAGCAAUCGUUCGGACGGUACCUCCAGAAGCAGCCACGGCUAACUUCGUGCCAGCCGCCG